CUGAGAGAGGGGCUUCGCGCUCCCGGGGGGCUUCGGCCUCCCAACUCUUCAACCCUGUGCAAACGUACCUUUGUUGCUUUGGCGGGCUGCGGCGCCGACCCCCCUCGGGCUCGCUCGUGCCAGCGGGGCAAACCCGCAUAUGCUGGAUCAUCAGCUCCCGUCAGAGGCCCAUCUAAACCCUUUCAAUCAGUGUCGUCCGAGUACAAAACAAAUAGUAAAAACUUUCAACAACGGAUCUCUUGGUUCUGGCAUCGAUGAAGAACGCAGCGAAAUGCGAUAAGUAAUGUGAAUUGCAGAAUUCAGUGAAUCAUCGAAUCUUUGAACGCACAUUGCGCCCCUCGGUAUUCCGGGGGGCAUGCCUGUUCGAGCGUCAUUACACCCCUCAAGCUCUGCUUGGUAUUGGGCCCUCGCCCCGUGGGCGUGCCCGAAAAACAGUGGCGGCCCGGCGUGACCUCAAGCGUAGUAAAUUUAUCCCGCUCUGGAGGCUCGCGCCGCGAUCGGCCAUCGACCCCUCACUUUCAAAGAAUUGACCUCGGAUCAGGUAGGGACACCCGCUGAAC
rnacentral:rRNA from 1 species